GACGAACGCUGGCGGCGUGCUUAACACAUGCAAGUCGAACGGAAAGGCCCUGCUUUUGUGGGGUGCUCGAGUGGCGAACGGGUGAGUAACACGUGAGUAACCUGCCCUUGACUUUGGGAUAACUUCAGGAAACUGGGGCUAAUACCGGAUAGGAGCUCCUGCUGCAUGGUGGGGGUUGGAAAGUUUCGGCGGUUGGGGAUGGACUCGCGGCUUAUCAGCUUGUUGGUGGGGUAGUGGCUUACCAAGGCUUUGACGGGUAGCCGGCCUGAGAGGGUGACCGGCCACAUUGGGACUGAGAUACGGCCCAGACUCCUGCGGGAGGCAGCAGUGGGGAAUAUUGCACAAUGGGCGGAAGCCUGAAGCAGGAACGCCGCGUGCGGGAUGACGGCCUUCGGGUUGUAAACCGCUUUCGCCUGUGACGAAGAGUGAGUGACGGUAAUGGGUAAAGAAGCACCGGCUAACUACGUG
rnacentral:rRNA from 1 species